AGCGAACGCUGGCGGCAGGCCUAAUACAUGCAAGUCGAACGCACCUUCGGGUGAGUGGCGGACGGGUGAGUAACGCGUGGGAACGUGCCCUUUGGUACGGAACAACUGAGGGAAACUUCAGCUAAUACCGUAUGUGCCCUUCGGGGGAAAGAUUUAUCGCCAUUGGAGCGGCCCGCGUUGGAUUAGCUAGUUGGUGGGGUAAAGGCCCACCAAGGCUACGAUCCAUAGCUGGUCUGAGAGGAUGAUCAGCCACACUGGGACUGAGACACGGCCCAGACUCCUACGGGAGGCAGCAGUGGGGAAUCUUGCGCAAUGGGCGAAAGCCUGACGCAGCCAUGCCGCGUGAAUGAUGAAGGUCUUAGGAUUGUAAAAUUCUUUCACCGGGGACGAUAAUGACGGUACCCGGAGAAGAAGCUCCGGCUAACUUCGUGCCAGCCGCCGCAGUAAGAC
rnacentral:rRNA from 1 species